AUUAUAUUCAAAAGAUUAAUUAAAUUCAAUUAUAUUCAAUAGAUCAAAAUGAUACUAUUAUGAGCCUAGAUGAGGAAAAUUACAUGAAAACAAAGCAGAAAUAAUGCUUUCUAGAGUAAUUUUAUUCCUAUUUAGUUAUAAUCUUACUGGAUCAUAAACAUUUAAGUGAUUUUACCUUGUAAUCAGCUAAAUGUAGCCAUUUGUUUGGCCAGUGACACAUAUGUGUUAGUGUUAUACGGAAACUUCCUGGAAGUCUCCUUAAAAAGGAAAGGAAUAACAAUUUCCCUUACUUUCAUCUUGUGGCUUGCAACAAGAUUAUAAUGGAGGAACUCUGGCUGGACCAGGCAGAAAAAGACCCUAAAGAUGAUGACCUAGUAAACUGGACUGCUCCACCACCAGUCCACGGAGUUUCCAUACCAACCCUGGAAUAACUAACUCCAGACUUAUUUUAUAUGUUGCUUAACUGGAAGAUGUGAGUCUGAAGCUCUGGCAGCCAUUUGCCUACCACUAGGAGAGAGUCUAUUUAAAGAAUAAAGCAAUGCAAAUCAAGACAGAGAGACAGAAAAUCUUGAAAGCAGUAUUGAUUCUCUGGAUGCAGUCUUUCCUUAAGAUGUACUCUUGGACUUUCCAAUUAUAUGAGCCAAUAAAUCCUUUUUUGGGGGGUCUAA